UAUAAACCAUAGACUGUAAAAAUAAUGGACGGGACAAGGUCCCCGGUCUAGUGAAGCUUUUAUUUGUAGAGCUCCCCCUGCUGACUGGCUGCAGUAUAGGUCAUAAACUCCGCCUCCUCAAUGAUAACAGAUGGGAUGUGGGUCAAACUGUAAAGCUAAAAUACUCGUCACAUCAUUUUUUUCCAAACCUAAACUCUGCUGUGAUCAUUAGUUAUUAUCACCCUACAUUGUGUUCAAGUGCUCAUUUUUCUGUGAAGUUUGUUUUAAAUAAGUUAUUUGAGAUUGAAAAACAGGAUUUUAUGUCAUAUUUGACGAUGAUUGACAGCCGCGGAUCUUGCGUAGCUCUCUUUGGGAAUAGCAAAAGUUACGUAGUGAAGGAAAGCCGAGACGCCAUUGCAUUUUUCCGUUCAGUUUUUUCGUCUUUUUUGAGCUGGCAAAAUGAGUUGUUCUGCAGUAAACUGUUCUAACCGACCUGUUGGAGCUAAGGGAUCUUUGCAGUGUUUUCGGUAAGUAAAAAAGUGUGAUUUAUGUGUCAUUGGUUGGUUAAAGUCGUUAUCUAGCUAGCUAACACAUAAGCAGUCUAAGGUUAGCUGAAAUGUUGUAAAGCUAGGUUACUUAUCCGGCAUGAUUUAUCUUUUUAUUUUAUUUUUUAAAAUGAGCAAACCUAAUAACUGACAUGCUAUGUUUCUUGAUAUUGUUAUAUCAUUAUUGUGAUUUAAAUUGUAUUUAAAACCAAGAAUCGUAAUAUAAAAUCUGCUCAUAGAUGCGGUUCAUUGACUGUACAGUUAUUUUACAGCAAAAAUAAAUACGUCUGGUAAAGUCUCAAAAAAGUAUCUAGGGCAAAAACAAAGUCAAAUAAUUGUAAUCUGUCCUGCAUCAUUACUAAUGUGUACAUGUUUACAGUCUGAGUGAUAAGUGGACUAUACCGAGAGUAACAGGUUUUACUUUCACCGUGCGGGCUGAAAUUCAUAGUACUAUAUACGAGGGUAGAAUAUUUCUCUAUGUAUCCAGAUAAAACUAAAGGUAGGAUCUGAUUUAAUAUAAUUGUUACUGAUUUAAGAGACUAACCGAAACGUGAACACAAACAUCAACAACCUGCGGUGGUGUAAUGUAAUAUUAACCGAGCAUCAUGCUGCUUAAACUGAUAAAUAUUCUGCAUUGUCUUCCACACAUCAAUUCAACAGUCACAAGUUGAUCAUAUUGUAAAUUUAAUGACGCUCAUUGAGAAUUUGUACUAAAAAUUGACAAAACCUGACAAAACCUGCGGUGACUGUGUCUGUAUUUAACACAUUUGAAAGGAAGGUGUUAAUGCAGGAGACCAGUGUUACACACAAAAUGCUGCUGUUAUUGAAGUUAGGAGGAGACAUAGGUACAAUAAAAGAAGACAUAAAGAUCGCGUUUUUCCCCACACAUGUUAAUAUGUUUUAAAUGUCAUGCAUUUCUUUUUUAUUUCGCUUCAAUAAUCGUUAACAAAGAGAAACACCAUGAUUAAACUACAGGCUAUUGUUGCCUUUUUAUAUCCAAAGAAAACUGAACAUCCACAGCCUGCAUUCAAAAUAAUUUCAACAUUGACAUUUAUGUCUUCCUAUUUCCCUCUUUUCACCAACAUUAUAUUUUAAACUGAGGAUUUCCUUUUUCUCAGGUUGUGCGUCUCUCCUCCCUCCUCUCCAUAAUGCGCUCGUCUCCUCCCUCUACAGCCUGCUGCUGCUACUCUGUAGGACGCUUUGAUUGGGGGACCUCACCAAUAAAAUACUAUUUUAUAUUUUAUAAGCAGUUUGCCACCACACUGUACUUUUACUCUCCAAAGGCAUAUGAGUAUGUGCGUGACAACUUUAACAAAUCUUUACCACACAGUCACACCAUCCACACAGCUGAUCCAGGAUUUACUGUAGCAUCUUUUAUAGCACUAAGAGGUCAUGUACAGGCAAACAGAGAGAAGGGAAAAGAAACAAUCUGUGCUCUCAAAUAACAAAGCAGUCUCAAAUCUUUUUGAGGAAUUACAGCUAAAAAAAAUUCUACUUUGCAUACAGUACAUCCUCUGAUAAAUAAAGUGAAGUACUUUGAUUGUAUUUCUGUGAUGUUCCUGUAGGUGACCAUGAUGCAGCCAUACUGAAGCAGCAGGUUGUGAAGGUGGACGCCAUCAUCUUGUCUUUGCGGUGCUGAUUCUGAAGAGAACGUCUUCACAUAGGACUCAAAGGAAAUCAAUGCUCAAAGGAAACAGCAGUCCAGACUCUGAUUCCAGCUCCGAAGAUGCCCUCAGAUUCAGAUCCAUCAACAACCCCUGACAACAUGGAGGACUCGUCCCCUGAGCGUUUCCUGUCCUCUCUCCAUGGAGUUCUUCUCUUCAGUUAUUAACUCUUGAAAACAGAAGCACAACAUGCCAGACUGUUUGACAAGUCUGU